GGGGAUGUAGCUCAGUAGAAUGUAUGCUUAGCAUGCAUAAAGCCCUGGGUUUAAUCCCUAGCACUCCCA
rnacentral:tRNA from 1 species